GACGAACGCUGGCGGCGUGCCUAAUACAUGCAAGUCGAACGAACCGCGACUAGGUGCUUGCACUUGGUCAAGGUGAGUGGCGAACGGGUGAGUAACACGUGGGUAACCUACCUCAUAGUGGGGGAUAACAGUCGGAAACGACUGCUAAUACCGCAUAGGACAUAGGAUCACAUGAUUCUGUGAGGAAAGGUGGCGCAAGCUAUCGCUAAGAGAUGGACCCGCGGUGCAUUAGCUAGUUGGUAGGGUAAAGGCCUACCAAGGCGAUGAUGCAUAGCCGACCUGAAGGGGUGAUCGGCCACAUUGGGACUGAGACACGGCCCAACCUCCUACGGGAGGCAGCAGUAGGGAAUCUUCCGCAAUGGACGCAAGUCUGACGGAGCAACGCCGCGUGAGUGAAGAAGGUCUUCGGAUCGUAAAGCUCUGUUGUUAGAGAAGAACAGCGCAUAGAGUAACUGUUAUGCGUGUGACGGUAUCUAACCAGAAAGCCACGGCUAACUACGUG
rnacentral:rRNA from 1 species